UAGCGUUUGGAGGAAUGGUCCUGCGCGCGCGCCCGGAGGGUUGUCGUGGGGUUCGUGUUGGAUGAAUCAUAAAAUCUGGGAACGUACAGUGCGGUACGACA
rnacentral:ribozyme from 11 species